rnacentral:rRNA from 1 species
UAGAGUUUGAUCCUGGCUCAGGAUGAACGCUGGCGGCGUGCCUAACACAUGCAAGUCGAACGGGUGUACGGGAAGGGAAGGCGUUCGGCCGGGAAAACCUGUGCAUGAGUGGCGGACGGGUGAGUAACGCGUGGGCAACCUGGCCUGUACAGGGGGAUAACACUUAGAAAUAGGUGCUAAUACCGCAUAACGGGGAAGCCGCAUGGCUUUUCCCUGAAAACUCCGGUGGUACAGGAUGGGCCCGCGUCUGAUUAGCCAGUUGGCAGGGUAACGGCCUACCAAAGCGACGAUCAGUAGCCGGCCUGAGAGGGCGGACGGCCACACUGGGACUGAGACACGGCCCAGACUCCUACGGGAGGCAGCAGUGGGGGAUAUUGCACAAUGGGGGGAACCCUGAUGCAGCGACGCCGCGUGGGUGAAGAAGCGCCUCGGCGCGUAAAGCCCUGUCGGCAGGGAAGAAAAUGACGGUACCUGAAGAAGAAGCCCCGGCUAACUACGUG